rnacentral:rRNA from 1 species
AUACGGAGGGUGCGAGCGUUAAUCGGAAUUACUGGGCGUAAAGCGUACGUAGGCGGUUUGCUAAGUCAGAUGUGAAAGCCCCGGGCUUAACCUGGGAACUGCAUUUGAUACUGGCAGACUAGAGUAUGAUAGAGGGGGGUAGAAUUCCUGGUGUAGCGGUGAAAUGCGUAGAUAUCAGGAGGAAUACCAGUGGCGAAGGCGGCCCCCUGGAUCAAUACUGACGCUGAGGUACGAAAGCGUGGGGAGCGAACAGGAUUAGAAACCCGGGUAGUCC